AAGUCGUAACAAGGUCUCCGUAGGUGAACCUGCGGAGGGAUCAUUACCGAGAUAGGGUCCUAACCGGGCCCGACCUCCAACCCAUUGUCUACCAAACCUCUGUUGCCUCGGCGGGCCGCUGGGAACCCCUUCACGGGGGGGAUCACCGUCGGCCUUUGCGCUCUCGAGUGCCCGUCGCAGGACCGUCACAAACUCUUUUGAAACGAGCAUGUUCUGAGUGGAUAUUAAUGCUUCAAUAAAACUUUCAACAACGGAUCUCUUGGUUCUG
rnacentral:misc_RNA from 1 species